UUUCUACGUCAGAAAUCUGGCUGCGCUCAGGACCUUGACGCGGUCGACCUGGAAGUGGAUUUUCGCGUUCUGUAAACAUCCUCCAACAAUUUCUAUCUGUGCCUUGAAACACUUCAGCGAUAAACAGGACGAUGUUGAGGCUGAGGUUCCAGGUCCUGCGCAGCCUGCCCUCCAUGCUCUGCAGAUCCAUCUCUUCAGGUCCUGGCAGCUCCCCAGCUGGAGGCCAGGCUCCUGACAUGGCAGAAGGACAUUCACACUUGCUUGUGAAUGAUGGUGUGUUGGUAACCAUUCCUAAUUCAAGUUAUUGAAGCAUGUAGAUUACUAAGUGGUAUGAAGGAGAUGCAUGGGAGACAGCAGGAACGGGCUGCUCAAUUAGUCUAACACAAGCCCUAAGGAGGUUUACAAGGAAGACUAUUGCAUUAGAAGGAAAUCUAUUUCGUAUGGCAGUGGUUAAUUUUAGCAUGCAAACCUGUAUAGA